GUGGCGCCCGCCUGUCACCCCCUACUCGGGAGGCUCGCCCUGAGUUCCAGGCAGCCUGGGCUGGGUAGCGAGACCCCAUCUCAAAAGAGAAAAAAAGCCAGCGCCAAGUGUUCAGCAGCAACAGGUCUACCACAGACCGAGGCCUCGGGAGCAGAAAGCGGCGGCACGGGCUUUUCCGAGCCAGAGCCACAGUGGACGAAAGCCUCGGCGGCCUCAGCCCCGGCACCAGGAGAAACCGAGGCAGGAGCCGCCCCAGCUGCGGCUCGGGGUCCGGGACCCUGUGGGAGCGGCGAUCAGCACUGCUGUGUGCAGAGGGGCUGUUCUGCUUUCAUUGUAAAUUUCUGAGCGGCAAAAAUACAGGGAUCCUAGCGACGCAGGGAAGCUGGUGGGACCGCCCUGGGCGUGUGGCUACGGGUGCACACACAUACGCGCACGCACACGCACACACCUGCGUGCACACGCGCUCAUCUCACUACAGAGCUCGCCCAGAACGAACACGCACGGCUGUCUCCCCGCGGCUGCCUGCAGCUCUCUUUUCCCUUGCUCCCUGUUUGGAGACAGGGCUCUGUUAGGCAGCCCAGGCGGGCCUCAGCCCCGCAGACGCUCCCGCCUCGGCCUCCCGAGUGCUGGCUGACAGGCGGGCGCCACCGCGCAGGGCUCCCCGGUUUGGUCCCGCCCGGUAGAGGAGGAAGACACCGGGGCAGACCGGGCAGACAGAGGUUUUCUCAUCUUGUUUUGUCUCACGCUGUCUUUUUCCUUCCGUCCACUCCUUUUAUUUCCAGUAUUUCCCAGGAACGGAACCCAGGGCCCUCGCACUGAGCUGCAUCCCCAGCCCUCCGUUAUUUUUCUACUCUGAGGCAGGCUCUGGCUGAGUCGCCAAGUCACCCAACUUGCGAACCCUCCUGCCUCAGCCUCCCGGGAGUGAAGUCAGGACCCCGGCCGAGACGGCGUUGUUUGUGCUGCAGCAGCGGAGAGGGAGAAAGCGGGCCUGCAGACAGGCGCUGGGGACCCUGGGCGUGGCGGGAGAAUCACUGCGUCUCCCCCACCGUGAGGAUGUCGUCCGUGUCCGUCCGGCUCCAGGUGAUCCGCCGAGGGCUCAGCCUCUUUCAUGGUGGCCUAGGAGGGACACACGGCGUCAGAGGGAAACGCAGCGGUGACGAAGGACAGAGCCCUUGCCCACAGCCAGGAGGCAGAAACGGCCCAGGUGCCCACGCGGGGGCGAGCGAGUGAACAGAAUGAGCUCCCUCCGUGUGGGGAAUAUUACACAGCCGCGAAAAGGGAACAGGGAGGCCGUGUCACCUGCUACGUGGACUUGAAAGGCCCGGUCCGCUCACCUCCUGCUCCGACCUGAAGAUGCCCUUCGGCUCGUCCUUCACGUGGGGCACUGGCGGGAGGAGCUGCUGCUGCAGCCCGUACCUGCCGAGGGGACAAACGGGGGACACGCUGGGACGGCAUCGUCCCCAGGGGCCCCAGCAUCCCGUCCCGGGUGUCCCCCGAGUGGGGGGACCAGGCACAUGCUCAGGGGGGCGGGGUCCGCGUCGCGUGUCCCCGAGUGUCCAAGCACCCCAAUAUUAAGCCCCUCCGGGCAGGGUGAGGCAGGAGGAUCUCAGCUCCGCAGCACAGGGGACAUCAAAGCCGGGUCAGCGGCGCGCGGCUCCGCAGCGCCACCUCGUGGGCGGCCGUGGGACUGCAGGCUGCAGGGCGGCGGCGGGCUCGCUGAGAUCCUCCUGCCUCGGCCUCCGAGUGCUGCCAUUCCGGGCGUGCGCCCGUGCCCAGGCUGCUCGGGCUGCUUCCUGCCCGUUCCUUUUCCUUCGCACGUCUGUGGGUGGAACCCAGACCCUGCGCAGGGUCUCGCCGAAUCGCUACGGGGCCCGAGCUGGGUCUGGAGUGGACAUGCGCCUUGCCUCAGCCUCCCCGAGCGCCGGCGCCAGGCUGGGAAACCCACCUUUGCAGACGACCGUGAGCGCCGCGGUGCACACGGCCACCGCCACCGCCGCCACCAGGGCCAGCACCUGGGCCAGGGUGAGGCUGCCGUAGGCCUGGUCCGGGCCUGGAGGGGGUGGGGGUCAGCAAGGGCCGCAGUCCGGCCCCAUUCGGAGCGCGGUCGGUCGGGAGCUUUCCCGGCCCCGGCGGCUGCGGAACUCGCAGGUCAGGCCUACGCCUCGGCUCAGCUCGGCUCGGCUCGGGCUCGGCUCGGUUCGAUUCGGCUCGGCUCAGCUAGGCCUCGGCUCGGGCUGGGGACCCCGGGCGCAUGCGUAUGCUCACCGACGCCGCGCGCCGGGCUCCAGUCGCUCCACACCGCCCCGCGCACGUGGCGUACGCGCACGCGCACCGAGCCCCCCGCCACCAGCGCAUGCGCGUUCCGCUCCCGGCCCCGCUGGAAAACCUGCGCGGAGGACUUAGCUCCCAGCACCCGGCGUGCAACCCGAGCGCUGGGUGCCGGCACGGGCUGCCCCCCGCUGCGUUUCUGGUCCCUGCACCUGCGGGGACCUUCAGCCCCAACCCCACCUCCCGCAGACGCCCGGGAACGGGAGCCGGGACAGGAGCGGCCCGGGCCAGCUGGGUGCUCGGUCCCGGGGUGACCCAGCGAUUGAUCGCAGGGCCGGGUGCGCCCCAGCGCGCAGGACUCGGGCUGGGAACCCCAAGAGCCACAGGAAAGUCUCCUCAUGAGAAGGAGCCGGGUGCGGAGGCGCGCGCCUGGGACCCAGCUCCCCGGGAGGCUGAGGCAGGAGGGGCUCCGGGAGCCGAGCGAGGACCCCCAGGGCGGCAGCCGGGCGGGGCGCGGGCACUCACGGGCGGUGCCUCGGCCUCGGCGCCCUGUGGGAGGGAGACGGAGCGGUGGCGGGCGGGCCAUGCAGUCGCCUCCUCGCUGCCCCCGGCAGUGGCCGCAGGCCCGCAGCCUCCUGGGAGCGCGGUUUCCCGGAACAUCGCCAUUGUUCCCGUUCCGCCCCGGUCCUCGGUGCUGGGACCCGGUCCGGAGCCGCCGCCCAGCCCAGCCCAGCCCAGCCCAGCCCAGCCCAGCCCAGCCCUUGUAGUUCACGUUUUCUCCCGCCAGACCCGCCGGGCCGCAGCCGGAGAGAGCUCGAGAUCGCCCGCCUGCGCCUCCGCCUCCGCCUCCGCCUCCGCCUCCCGGCCGCCGUACCCGCCUGCGGACGUCCAGCUCGCAGUACAGGGUGCUCGGGCUCUGCUCGAACCUCCGCGCCGGGUUGUCCCAGCCAGCACACGACGAGGCCCGGGCCCGCGGGGCCGACCGAGCCGUUGGCGGGAGGGCUCUACUUCUCUGUCCCCCGCACAAACCGGAACACGAACAGGCGGAAGCGGCCGCGGCCGCGGAGACGGAAAUGACCCAGCUCCCAGGACCCCCGGCCCCAGGCUGGCUUCCUCGGCCGUUCCGAGGCAGAAUCUCGCUCGCUGUGCAGCCCACCCGGGCCUUGAGCUCACGACGUGGCCCAGGCUGGCUUCCAAUUCGGGGAGAUCCUUCUGCCUCAGCCUCGCGAGUGCUGGGAUCACAGGCGUGCCCACCGCGCCCGGCUGAUCUUCCUGCCCCUCGUGGGACCCCAGGGAGACCGGUGGCCUCUCCUCCUGUCCCCGUGGGGAUUUUCCACCGCACACUGCCCCGGGGCGGAAGCAGGAGAGGCUGAAGCAGGCAGCGAUGGUCUCACCGAUCAGAAAGGCCACAAAGGGCGGCGCGUCCAGGAACGGGAUGGUCGCCUCGCCGCUGGUGCCGUGGACCAGGAAGAAGGAAUUACCCAACGUCUUGGGCUCCCGGCCGAGCUGGGUGAAAUGGCAGCCCACGCGCAGCCCCUUUGAGUCCAGGGAGUAGUGGAGGCAUUCGGCCUCGGCGUCGUUCCUGGAGGGCCCAGAGGGCCGCGCAGAGUCAGAGAAAACCAGAGAGGGUUUGGGGCGCGGGCCCUGAACCCGAAAACAGCCCCUUGCAAGGCUGGGGUGCUUGGCUGUAAGAAGAGCAGCCCAGUUUUGUUUACUUCCGCCCAGCUUGCUGCUGUUGACAGGGCACAGAACCAGGCUUUCGGGGCGCGCCCGUCAUCCCAGCACUCGGGAGGCCGAGGCAGGACGACUUCCAGCCUUGCCUGGGCCACCGAGUGACUCGGCGAGACCCUGUCCGCCAAUAAAAACACCAACAGGCCGGGGCUGGAGCUCGGCCGGCAGCUGUGAGUUCCAGGAGCACAUUUUUAAAAAAGAAAGGAAAGGAGAAAAAGUAAGAUAAAGAAAAUGAAACUGCGAGACCCACUGGGCAGGCGCGGGGACCCGAGAUGGCAGCCCCCUGUCCACCCCACUUGUCCGGCCUGGGCCACCCCAUCCCGCCCCACGGUGCCCACUCACGGGUCGAACCAGAACAGCUGGUAGACGGUGUCCACGGGGGCUGUUUGGCCCGGCGCCCAGCUGCAGUUCAUGGCGUGCACGUCAUAGAUGAUGCAGGACAGGUUGGCGGCGCCGGCCCCGGGGCCUGCCUGGGAUGCAGCGACCAGGGCCUCAGCGGCGCGGCACGGGGCCAGAUCCUGGCCCCUGGCCCCCCGGGCCCCAUGUCACCUGGGUUGUCGAAGCGCAGGGUCUCCUGGAAGGUGGCGUUGCCCAUGGCGGCGUGGACCUCGAAGACGGCCCCGCGGUGCAGGACCGAGUUGGGGAAGGAGCAGAAAUACGUGUCUUCGUCCAGCGCCUGGAAGACCACGGAACCGCCCUGCCUCAGCCCACGUGGCGCACGCCUGUCACGCCAGCACUCUGAGAGGCUGAGGCGGGAGGAUCUCAUGUUCCAACCUGGCCCGGGCAACUCAGCCACAUGGCAAGGCCCUGGCUCAAAAUAAAAACAGCAACAGGGGCUGGACAUGGGGCUCAGUGCGAAGGGUUCUAUAAGAGUCUGGAAAUUUCUAGAGGUUCCUGGAAAGUCCCGGGCUCUUCUGGAGGUUCUACAAGAUUCUAGAAG
ensembl:lncRNA